rnacentral:rRNA from 1 species
CACGCCUUAAACGAUGUUCACUCGCUGUUUGCGAUAUACCGUAAGCGGCCAAGCGAAAGCAUUAAGUGAACCACCUGGGGAGUACGUCGGCAACGGUGAAACUCAAAGGAAUUGACGGGGGCCCGCACAAGCGGAGGAACAUGUGGUUUAAUUCGAUGAUACGCGAGGAACCUUACCUGGGCUUAAAUGUAGGCUGCAUUCCGCUGAAAGGUGGAUUUCCGCAAGGACUGCUUACAAGGUGC